AACGAACGCUGGCGGCAGGCUCAACACAUGCAAGUCGAGCGCCCCGCAAGGGGAGCGGCAGACGGGUGAGUAACGCGUGGGAACGUACCUUUUGGUUCGGAACAACUCCGGGAAACUGGAGCUAAUACCGGAUAAGCCCUAACGGGGAAAGAUUUAUCGCCGAAAGAUCGGCCCGCGUCUGAUUAGCUAGUUGGUGAGGUAACGGCUCACCAAGGCGACGAUCAGUAGCUGGUCUGAGAGGAUGAUCAGCCACACUGGGACUGAGACACGGCCCAGACUCCUACGGGAGGCAGCAGUGGGGAAUAUUGGACAAUGGGCGCAAGCCUGAUCCAGCCAUGCCGCGUGAGUGAUGAAGGCCUUAGGGUUGUAAAGCUCUUUUGUCCGGGAAGAUAAUGACUGUACCGGAAGAAUAAGCCCCGGCUAACUUCGUG
rnacentral:rRNA from 1 species